UUGGUUAAGUUAGAAAGGGCGCACGGUGGAUGCCUUGGCACUAGGAGCCGAAGAAGGACGGGACUAACACCGAUAUGCUUUGGGGAGCUGUACGUAAGCGUUGAUCCAGAGAUUUCCGAAUGGGGGAACCCACUAUCUUUAGUCGGAUAGUAUCCUUACGUGAAUACAUAGCGUGAGGAAGGCAGACCCAGGGAACUGAAACAUCUAAGUACCUGGAGGAAGAGAAAGAAAAAUCGAUUUCCUGAGUAGCGGCGAGCGAAACGGAAAGAGCCCAAACCAAGAAGCUUGCUUCUUGGGGUUGUAGGACACUCUAUACGGAGUUACAAAAGAAAGUUAUAAAUGAAGCGGUCUGGAAAGGCCCGCCAAAGACGGUAACAGCCCGGUAGUUGAAAUGGCUUUCCCUCCAGAGUGGAUCCUGAGUACGGCGGAACACGUGAAAUUCCGUCGGAAUCCGGGAGGACCAUCUCCCAAGGCUAAAUACUCCCUAGUGACCGAUAGUGAACCAGUACCGUGAGGGAAAGGUGAAAAGCACCCCGGAAGGGGAGUGAAACAGUUCCUGAAACCGUGUGCCUACAAGUAGUUAGAGCCCGUUAAUGGGUGAUAGCGUGCCUUUUGUAGAAUGAACCGGCGAGUUACGAUUUGUUGCAAGGUUAAGCGGAAAAAGCGGAGCCGUAGCGAAAGCGAGUCUGAAUAGGGCGCAUAAGUAACAGGUCGUAGACCCGAAACCAGGUGAUCUACCCAUGUCCAGGAUGAAGGUAAGGUAAUACUUACUGGAGGUCCGAACCCACGCACGUUGAAAAGUGCGGGGAUGAGGUGUGGGUAGCGGAGAAAUUCCAAUCGAACUUGGAGAUAGCUGGUUCUCUCCGAAAUAGCUUUAGGGCUAGCCUCGAGGUAAAGAGUCAUGGAGGUAGAGCACUGUUUGGACUAGGGGCCCUUCUCGGGUUACCGAAUUCAGAUAAACUCCGAAUGCCAUGUACUUAUACUCGGGAGUCAGACUGCGAGUGAUAAGAUCCGUAGUCGAAAGGGAAACAGCCCAGACCACCAGUUAAGGUCCCCAAAUAUAUGUUAAGUGGAAAAGGAUGUGGGGUUGCUUAGACAACCAGGAUGUUGGCUUAGAAGCAGCCACCAUUGAAAGAGUGCGUAAUAGCUCACUGGUCGAGUGACCCCGCGCCGAAAAUGUACCGGGGCUAAACAUAUUACCGAAACUGUGGAUGAACCUCUUUAGAGGUUCGUGGUAGGAGAGCGUUCUAAGGGCGGUGAAGUCAGACCGGAAGGACUGGUGGAGCGCUUAGAAGUGAGAAUGCCGGUAUGAGUAGCGAAAGAAGGGUGAGAAUCCCUUCCACCGAAUAUCUAAGGUUUCCUGAGGAAGGCUCGUCCGCUCAGGGUUAGUCGGGACCUAAGCCGAGGCCGAUAGGCGUAGGCGAUGGACAACAGGUAGAGAUUCCUGUACCAGUGCUAAUUGUUUAACCGAUGGGGUGACACAGAAGGAUAGGGAAUCGCACGAAUGGAAAUGUGCGUCCAAGCAGUGAGUGUGAGAAGUAGGCAAAUCCGCUUCUCGCGAAGCAUGAGCUGUGAUGGGGAAGGAAAUUAAGUACGGAAGUUCCUGAUUUCACGCUGUCAAGAAAAGCCUCUAGGAAGAGUAGUACUGCCCGUACCGCAAACCGACACAGGUAGAUGAGGAGAGAAUCCUAAGGUGAGCGAGAGAACUCUCGUUAAGGAACUCGGCAAAAUGACCCCGUAACUUCGGGAGAAGGGGUGCUCUAUUAGGGUGCAAGCCCGAGAGAGCCGCAGUGAAUAGGCCCAGGCGACUGUUUAGCAAAAACACAGGUCUCUGCAAAACCGUAAGGUGACGUAUAGGGGCUGACGCCUGCCCGGUGCUGGAAGGUUAAGAGGAGUGCUUAGCUUCGGCGAAGGUACGAAUUGAAGCCCCAGUAAACGGCGGCCGUAACUAUAACGGUCCUAAGGUAGCGAAAUUCCUUGUCGGGUAAGUUCCGACCCGCACGAAAGGCGCAACGAUCUGGGCACUGUCUCAACGAGAGACUCGGUGAAAUUAUAGUACCUGUGAAGAUGCAGGUUACCCGCGACAGGACGGAAAGACCCCGUGGAGCUUUACUGCAACCUGAUAUGGAAUGUUUGUACCGCUUGUACAGGAUAGGUAGGAGCCGAAGAGACGUGUGCGCUAGCAUACGAGGAGGCAAUGGUGGGAUACUACCCUGGCUGUAUGACCAUUCUAACCCGCCACGCUUAGCGCGUGGGGAGACAGUGUCAGGUGGGCAGUUUGACUGGGGCGGUCGCCUCCUAAAGAGUAACGGAGGCGCCCAAAGGUUCCCUCAGAAUGGAUGGAAAUCAUUCGCAGAGUGUAAAGGCACAAGGGAGCUUGACUGCGA
rnacentral:rRNA from 1 species